CGGAGGUGGCGAGCGUUACUCGGAAUCAUUGGGUGUAAAGGGCAAGUAGGCGGUUUGUUAAGUGAGGGGUGAAAUCUUCCGACUCAAUCGGGAAACUGCCUUUCAAACUGACAGACUUGAGGAUGGAAGAGGAAUAUGGAAUUCGCGGUGUAAGGGUGAAAUCUGUAGAUAUCGCGAAGAACACCAGCGGCGAAGGCGAUCUUCUGGUCCAUUUCUGACGCUAAAUUGCGAAAGCUAGGGGAGCAAACAGAAUUAGAUACUCUGGUAGUCCUAGCUGUAAACGAUGAGCACUAGGUGUUGGCCCGUAAGGGUCAGUGCCGCAGCUAACGCAUUAAGUGCUCCACCUGGGGACUACGGCCGCAAGGUUA
rnacentral:rRNA from 1 species